UGAUACAAUUGUAUUACGACCAGGCUUUGUGCCAGUCAAGUUGAAGGAAAGGCCUUCAUUGUUGAGAUGAAAAGGGUCAGACUCCCAGAUACCAAGACAUAAGUUGGCAUGUAAUGCAUGUCAUUUACAAAGCAUAAUGCUUUCCAAUCGAUGACGGACACACAAAGGCAGCCCAAUCGUCCAUCAAAUAAAGAGACCUUGGUUCCUUCAUCAGGCUCAUCUGUAAAAGAGACCUUGGUCUCAGCUUGACUCCCUUAUAAAAGUUAAAUACAAUUUGAGGGUCCAGUCCAUCAUCAUCUGUUAGGAUGUACUGGGAAUCAUCAUCUGUAGAGUACUGUGAACAUCAAUGGAGACUUCAAACAAAGCCAAGUUCCAGGUUUACCUGAUGUGAUUACAUAAAACUACUUUUUCUCUGGUAAAAUGACAGUAGAAGUCAGUGAUGUGACCUCUGUCAGAGUGAUAUAGAGCCCCAUGAGGAUGGAAGCUACAGGUGUGGUCGAGGCUGGGGCAGGCUCUAACGUCGGGCUGAUUUGUGACAUAUAUUCAUCUUUGCGAUAUUGGUGACUCUAAGUUAAGGUUAAUGCUCAAUGAUAAAAUGCUGCGAUCAUGUGGUGUACAGGAUUGUGGUCAAAGUCAAUUCAUGUCAACUCAAUGAAAAUGGAGGUACUUUUUUCAAUUAUUGAAUUGAAUGCGUUUGAUUGAAGUAAAAUGCAAGGGGAGGCAUGUAAGCAGAAGAACACCAUCCCAACCUUGAAGCACAGGGAUGGCAGCAUCAUGUUGUGGGGGUGCUUUGCUGCAGGAGGGACUGGUGCACUUCACAAAAAUGAUGGCAUCAUGAGGCAGGAAAAUUAUGUGGAUAUAUUGAAGCAACAUCUCAAGACAUCAGUCAGGAAGUUAAAGCUUGGUCGCAAAUGGGUCUUCCAAAUGGACAAUGACCCCAAGCAUACUUCCAGUUGUGGCAAAAUGGAUUAAGGACAACAAAGUCAAGGUAGAGUGAGUGGCCAUCACAAAGCCCUGACCUCAAUCCUAUAGAACAUUUGUGGGCAGAAUUGAACAAGCGUGUGCGAGCACGGAGGCCUACAAACCUGACUCAGUUACACCAGCUCUGUCAGGAGGAAUGGACCAAAAUAAAUCCAACUUAUUGUGGGAAGCUUGUGAAAGGCUACCCAAAACUUUUGACUCAAGUUAAACAAUUUAAAGACAAUGCUACCAAAUACUCGUUGAUUCUAUGUAAACUUCUGACCUACUGGGAAUGUGAUGAAAGAAAUAAAAGCUAAAAUAAAUAAUUCUCUCUAGCAUUAUUCUGACAUUUCAAAUUCUUAAAAUAAAGUGGUAAUCCUAACUAACCUAAGACAGGGAAUAUUUACGAGGAUUAAAUGUCAGGAAUUGUGAAAAACUGAGUUUAAAUGUAUUUGGCUAAGGUGUAUGUAAACUUCCGACUUCAAUUGUAUAUAGUGGACUUCACAUUUUGAUUUUCAUCAAAUUUGAAAUUCUGCCUUGGUUUCUCCAUUAACUCCAUAAAAUCCAGCCGUGUAUUGAGAGUCCCAUGGGGAGGCGCACAAUUGGCCCAGCGUCGUCCGGGUUUGGUCGGGGUAGGCCGUCAUUGUAAAUAAAAAUGAGUUCUCAAAACUGACUUGCCCAGUUAAAUAAAGGUUAAGAAAAACACAAUAAAAAGAUUGUUUGGUCCACAACAGCAUAUCAUGAAGUGGAACAUUUGAUUCCAGGUUUGAUAAAAUCUAGAAUACACUUCCAGCUAGGUGGCCCCUUGAUGCAUCACCCAUUGCCCAGACAACUGAACAACCCAUUGGAAAAAAAUACACCCUCAGCGCCUGUUAAAUGGCUGGGUUAAGCGAUGAGUCAUGUCUGUAUAUAUUUAGACACACACUGAGGGUUUAUAACGCCAGUAACGCUCCGCCUCUCCUCAGAUCAUGUUCCCUCCAUCAUGGUAUGGUCAGUGUCACACUAGUCUCACAACCACCUAGCCAGAAUACAGUCAACUAAUAUUACAGUAAUACUCAUGAGUCACAUCAAGUUGACAAUACUGUAGCAUAACUGUGUCUGCCUCACCAGGGCAAAAUAAAGUUUUAUAUUAAACACAAUACAAUAGAUUACUUUGUAUUUUCUAAAUCGCUUAAACCAUUCUUUAGAUCUAUCUUUUUCAACCAAUGAAGGGGUUAAUUCAUACAAUAGUUUUAAUCCAUCUCUCUGUCACAGUUAAUGAUCAGUUAACAGUUAACAGUUAACAAUCCGUGUAUAUUUGUUGUUGUUGUUAGGGUUAGGGUUGAGGGUUAGGGUUGUGGGUUAGAGUUGAGGGUUAGAGUUGAGGGUUAGGGAUGAGGGUUAGGGUUAGGGUUGAAGGUUAGGGUUGAGGGUUAGGGUUAGGGUUGAAGGUUAGGGUUGAGGGUUAGGGUUGUGGGUUAGAGUUGAGGGUUAGGGUUGAGGGUUUGGGUUGUGGGUUAGCGUUGAGGGUUAGGGUUGAGGGUUAGGGUUGUGGGUUAGAGUUGAGGGUUAGGGUUGAGGGUUAGGGUUGAGGGUUAGGGUUGAGGGUUAGGGUUGAGGGUUAGGGUUGUGGGUUAGGGUUGAGGGUUAGGGUUGAGGGUUAGGGUUGAGGGUUAGGGUUGAGGGUUAGGGUUGAGGGUUAGGGUUGAGGGUUAGGGUUGAGGGUUAGGGUUGAGGGUUAGGGUUGAAGGUUAGGGUUGAGGAUUAGGGUUGAGGGUUAGGGUUGAGGGUUAGGGUUGAAGGUUAGGGUUGAGGGUUAGGGUUGAGGGUUAGGGUUGAAGGUUAGGGUUGAGGGUUAGGGUUGAGGGUUCGGGUUGAGGGUUAGGGUUGAAGGUUAGGGUUGAGGGUUAGGGUUGAGGGUUAGGGUUGAAGGUUAGGGUUGAGGGUUAGGGUUGAGGGUUAGGGUUGAGGGUUAGGGUUGAGGGUUAAGGUUGAACGUUAGGGUUAGGGUUGAGGGUUAGGGUUGAAGGUUAGGGUUGAGGGUUAGGGUUGAGGGUUAGGGUUGAAGGUUAGGGUUGAGGGUUAGGGUUGAGGGUUUGGGUUGAGGGUUAGGGUUGAAGGUUAGGGUUGAAGGUUAGGGUUGAGGUUUAGGGUUGAGGGUUAGGGUUAGGGUUGAGGGUUAGGGUUGAGGGUUAGAGUUGAAGGUUAGGGUUGAGGGUUAGGGUUGAGGGUUAGGGUUGAGGGUUAGGGUUAGGAUUGAAGGUUAGGGUUGAGGGUUGGGGUUGAGGGUUAGG